AUGUGUUCCCUGCGUUUCUUGCUGAUAUUGAUCACAAUGAUGCCCGGAACGACUGCUGAAGAUUCAGUUUACCAGGAUCCGCCUCAAGUCACAGUUCAGGAAGGACAGGCUGUAAUACUUAACUGUACUUACUCGACAAUAUACUCUGAACCAACUCUCUUCUGGUACGUUCAGUACCCCGGGGAAGCUCCGAGAUAUUUACUGAAGAAAUUUGGCAAGAACAAGGGAGAACGAUCUCCAGAUUUUUCACGACGAUUCUCCGCCAAUUUGGACAAAGACAAUAAGCUGGUUGCUCUAAACGUAUCUGGGACGUUUCUCGCCGACUCUGCCGUAUAUCACUGUGCGAUGAGCCCCACACUGUGA